rnacentral:rRNA from 1 species
UACGUAGGGGGCAAGCGUUGUCCGGAUUUAUUGGGCGUAAAGAGCGUGUAGGCGGCCAGGUAGGUCCGCUGUGAAAACUCGAGGCUCAACCUCGAGAUGUCGGCGGAAACCAUCUGGCUAGAGUCCGGAAGAGGAGAGUGGAAUUCCUGGUGUAGCGGUGAAAUGCGCAGAUAUCAGGAAGAACACCCGUGGCGAAGGCGGAUCUCUGGGCCAUUACUGACGCUGAGGAGCGAAAGCGUGGGGAGCGAACAGG